rnacentral:sRNA from 16 species
AUUCUACCCAUGUGGGGAAGGAUGAGAAGCUUCGACUAAGGUUCGAUUCGAGCGAAAGCGAGAGAACGUUGCCGCAGGCAACGACCCGAAGGGCGAAACGCGCAGCGCUGAGUCAUCCUUCCCCCACCACCA